rnacentral:lncRNA from 1 species
UUUAGCGUGAAAAUUAACUAACGUUUAGCUGGAUUUAUUGCCGUCGUAGUUCCAUCUUGUCGCCUUCGUACUUUUAUUCGAUGGCAACACGACGGGAUUACGAGGUCUUCACGAAGUCGUGUUGCCAUCGUAAGACCUUCGCGUAGCUUCGUGAUUCAUUCGUGUAGACAUCGUAAUGUCAAAACUGCCCGAUGGAAACGAUGGAAACACGAAUGCAAUACGAUGUUCAAAGAUGCAUUCCCGGUGACAUUACGAUGGUGAGGAUGGUGAUACGAACUCAAUACGAAACCUCAACAUCGGACGCACCUUCGGGGAUUUUUUAACAUGUUAAAAAAUUUAUAACCCUUCCCGAAGUUGUCCCCGAAGGCUAGACAAGGUGGCCGAUGGUUCUACGAUGGUUAAAGAUGGCACUACGAAUAGCC